AAGGGUAUAGCUUAGUGGUAGAGUGUGUGCUUAGCAUGCAUGCAUGAGGUCCUGGGUUCAGUCCCAGUACCUCCA
rnacentral:tRNA from 1 species